UACGUAGGGGGCAAGCGUUAUCCGGAUUUACUGGGUGUAAAGGGGGCGCAGACGGCGAUGCAAGCCAGGAGUGAAAGCCCGGGGCCCAACCCCGGGACUGCUCUUGGAACUGCGUGGCUGGAGUGCAGGAGGGGCAGGCGGAAUUCCUGGUGCAGCGGUGAAAUGCGUAGAUAUCAGGAGGAACACCGGUGGCGAAGGCGGCCUGCUGGACUGCAACUGACGUUGAGGCCCGAAAGCGUGGGGAGCAAACAGG
rnacentral:rRNA from 1 species